rnacentral:rRNA from 1 species
AUUGAACACUGGCGGCAGGCUUAACACAUGCAAGUCGAGCGGGGUGAUGGUGCUUGCACUAUCACUUAGCGGCGGACGGGUGAGUAAUGCUUAGGAAUCUGCCUAUUAGUGGGGGACAACAUCUCGAAAGGGAUGCUAAUACCGCAUACGUCCUACGGGAGAAUGCAGGGGAUCACUUGUGACCUUGCGCUAAUAGAUGAGCCUAAGUCGGAUUAGCUAGUUGGUGGGGUAAAGGCCUACCAAGGCGACGAUCUGUAGCGGGUCUGAGAGGAUGAUCCGCCACACUGGGACUGAGACACGGCCCAGACUCCUACGGGAGGCAGCAGUGGGGAAUAUUGGACAAUGGGGGGAACCCUGAUCCAGCCAUGCCGCGUGUGUGAAGAAGGCCUUAUGGUUGUAAAGCACUUUAAGCGAGGAGGAGGCUCUUUUGGUUAAUACCCAAGAUGAGUGGACGUUACUCGCAGAAUAAGCACCGGCUAACUCUGUGCCAGCAGCCGCGGUAA